rnacentral:rRNA from 1 species
CCGCACAAGCAGAGGAGCAUGUGGCUUAAUUCGAUGCAACGCGAAGAACCUUACCUGGGCUUGACAUGCAGGUGCACGGCGUAUGAAAGUACGCCUCCUUCGAGGGUCCUGCACAGGUGCUGCAUGGCUGUCGUCAGUUCGUGCCGUGAGGUGUUUGGUUAAGUCCACCAACGAACGCAACCCCUUUGAGCAGUUGCCAGCGGGCGAUGCCGGGAACUCUGCUCAGACUGCCCGUUUACGCGGGAGGAAGGUGGGGAUGACGUCAAGUCAGUAUGGCCCUUACGCCCAGGGCUGCCCACGUGCUACAAUGGCCGGUACAGAGGGACGCCAAGCCGCGAGGCGGAGCUAACCCCCCAGAGCCGGCCCCAGUUCAGAUCGGGGUCUGCAACCCGACCCCGUGAAGUCGGAUUUGCUAGUAACGGCGCAUCAGCUACGGCGCCGUGAAUGCGUUCCCGGGCCUUGUACACACCGCCCGUCACAUCAUGAAAGCCGUCUGCACCCGAAGUCUGGCUCAGGUCAGCCUAAAGGUGUGGGUGGUGAUUGGGAUG